rnacentral:tRNA from 1 species
UCCCUGGUGGCUCAGAUGGUAAAGAGUCUGCCUGCAAUGCAGGAGACCCAGGUUCAAUCCCUGGAUCGGGAA